UGUUGCGGUUAAAAAGCUCGUAGUCGGAGGUGUGUCUCGGACGGUCGGUUCGCCGCUUGUCGGUGCUCAACUGGCCGGUCCGGACGUCCUGCCGGUGGGGCCGCAAGGCUCCGUUAUCCUUCUUUGGUCCUCUUCACCGAGUGCCUUGGUGGGCCGGCACGUUUACUUUGAACAAAUUAGAGUGCUCAAAGCAGGCCGUUGGUCGCCUGAAUACUGUGUGCAUGGAAUAAUGGAAUAGGACCUCGGUUCCAUUUUGUUGGUUUUCAGAACUCGAGGUAAUGAUUAAUAGGGACGGACGGGGGCAUUCGUAUUGCGACGUUAGAGGUGAAAUUCUUGGAUCGUCGCAAGACGAACCGAUGCGAAAGCAUUUGCCAAGAACGUUUUCGUUGAUCAAGAACGAAAGUUAGAGGUUCGAAGGCGAUCAGAUACCGCCCUAGUUCUAACCAUAAACGAUGCCAGCUAGCCAUCCGCCGAAGUUCCUUCUAUGACUCGGCGGGCAGCUUCCGGGAAACCAAAGCUCUUGGGUUCCGGGGGAAGUAUGGUUGCAAAGCUCAAACUUAAAGGAAU
rnacentral:rRNA from 1 species